UCGAGAAUUUUUCACAAUGGGCGAAAGCCUGAUGGAGCGACGCCGCGUGGGGGAUGAAUGGCUUCGGCCCGUAAACCCCUGUCAUUCGCGAUCAAACCUGGCUAUUUAGAAGAUGGCCAGCUGAUAGUAGCGGAAGAGGAAGGGACGGCUAACUCUGCGCCAGCAGCCGCGGUAAUACAGAGGUCCCAAGCGUUGUUCGGAUUCACUGGGCGUAAAGGGUGCGUAGGUGGUGAGGCAAGUCGGAUGUGAAAGCUCGGAGCUCAACUCCGAAAUGGCAUUGGAAACUGCCUGGCUCGAGGGUCGGAGGGGGGACUGGAAUUCUCGGUGUAGCAGUGAAAUGCGUAGAUAUCGAGAGGAACACCAGUGGCGAAGGCGAGCCCCUGGACGACUCCUGACACUGAGGCACGAAAGCUAGGGGAGCAAACA
rnacentral:rRNA from 1 species